GGCGUUCGUUACAUGAUUACAUAAGAUGCAAGCUCUUUUACGGUGAGUUUUUUCCUAUUAGACUUUCAAGCAAGUUUACGGUGGGGUGUUAACCUUAAAACAAAUGAUGAGAAGCUUUAUUCGCUAAAUAAACACACACACACGGGAAUUAUGACGGGACCACCAUACAAGCUCGUUCUCGCUGAUUUCUGCUUAAAAUGUACUUAUACAAACGAAAAAUGUCUAUAAACAGAACCGUUUUCAGCUUAGUUUUCUACCGCUAUUUUCCUUUUAAAAAGCCUGCUGGGAUCAAGCUAGUUUACGGUGGGUUUUUUCCUAUUAAACAUUCAAGCUGGUAUUCGGUGGGGCAUGUUUUAGCCUUAAAUUACAUGAAAAAAAAAACAAUUUGCGGUAUUAGAUCUUAUAUAAAAAACAAACCAAAAGUGCCCAAACACGUAUUUUAUUUUUUUGACCGCUAUUUUUUUAACUAACUUACAUUUUAAGCUGUACUGCUGUCCCGCUCCGUCCGCCGUUGUUGCGAGUGUCGAGUCCAGCGGCCGGCGCGCAAAGCAUGCUGGGAUACCCUUGCUCCUGUGAGGAUCUAUCAGACCCAUCCUCGAAAUGUGGGUGGAGCGAGGACGCGUUUGAGGCAUAGACUGUACAUACUGGACAAACGGAUUCCAUAGACUCCAAUAACACGUUUUUUGUCCAUAAUGGGAGGUGGCCACCAUCGCCAUUUUGACCGUGUCACAGGUUCCGUCCAGCCCAGACAAUUCCAUAAAAGGGAAGAGAGGAGGCGCUGAGGGUGGGGAUGUAAGGCUGGGAUCGAGUGACGAACUAGCCACGAGCUAACCUGAAGCUAACCCUGGCUAACCCAAAGCUAAAGCGGAGGUGGGAGCCGAGCUAACGGAUGUAGCCACCUAGCUUCAAUUCAACCGGAGCUAACCGGAACACCCAACGACCUGACCCUCACACGGAGUUUAGGUGGAGGUUUUCUGCGCCUGUUCGUGAGAAGUACCUGUAUUAAAAAGUUUUAAAUCGAUCUGUUAAAAGGUCACCAUGGCAGCCUGUGUGUCUCCAACAUCAGCUACACAACGCAGCGUCCAUUUGGAUCAUUGGAGACAGCUGAGUGAGGCGUGGUGCCCAGAGAGCUGCAGAGACCGUCGGAGACAACCUUGGCCUCCCUGACGUCUGUGUCUCCUGGUUUGGUUGGGGCGGACCAUCGACAUACAUACAUGUGCCGACACUUUGCGCCCUGUUUUA